AAAGUGGGGCCCUUUGAUUCUUUUGACUUAAAAAGUUUUAAGCAAGACGUGUCAGAAAAGUUAACCCAGGGGCAACUGACUUGUGGCGGUCAAGCUUUCACAGUGGCGCCACUUUUACUUCCUUCGAUGCUGGUACUUCUUAUCAUUGCGAAGCAUAAUUUGCCAAGCGCUGGAUUGUCAUCCACAAAAAUAGGGAACGUGAGCUGGGUUUAGACCGUCGUGAGACAGGUUAGCUCUUGCCCUAGUGAUGACUGGCUGAGGCAUUUUCAGCUAGGUCUAAGCGACGAGGUUCGGUCUUGACUCUACAGUGACCUUGCUUGUCCGGUGAAUGUGGAAUGUGAUGUCUUGAGGAGGUUAUGUAGGAACUAGCCUCUUGGUUUAAAGAGAGUAGAAAUUUGGUGCAACAAUCAUACCUUUGGAACCUUGGCUAAAGAAGAUCUUAGACAUUAGGCUUGCACGUGGCAUCAUAUGUCAUAAUGGUGGUUCUUU
rnacentral:ncRNA from 1 species